GUAGUUCUGGAGGCUCCAGCGGCAAAAGGCAAGGCUACGCGGCGAACAGCAACUCCCACGGGUCACUGCGUAGAGUCGCGGCUGUGUGCAAGCCAAAUGUAGAGCACUCGAGAGCCCGGAGGGGAAGUCGGCUGAUGGGAAUUGUAGUUUCCAGUCUCUAAGAAGGCAAAGCCGGAGUGUCACCGUGGUUACCAAACGACGCCAGUGGCUCCUUGCCUGGCAUUUGAUAGCAAGAUGGCGACUAGCGCUUCCUCUGUAUUCCAAAUACUAGGAAAAUAGAGAACUCAGGGUCCUUGGUUCUCCCUAAUUGUGAUUUUAGAAAACCAGACCCUCCUAAAGUUCAUACAUCUGGCAUCUGCAGAAAGAUUGAGACCUAGAGACUUGAGCCAAGUGUGCAUGUAACAGCAGCCUCAACAUCAAUGCAAGAUUCCGAU
rnacentral:lncRNA from 1 species